rnacentral:rRNA from 1 species
UACACUCCUGCGGGAGGCAGCAGUGGGGAAUUUUGGACAAUGGGCGAAAGCCUGAUCCAGCAAUGCCGCGUGAGUGAAGAAGGCCUUCGGGUUGUAAAGCUCUUUUGUCAGGGAAGAAACGGUGAGAGCUAAUAUCUUUUGCUAAUGACGGUACCUGAAGAAUAAGCACCGGCUAACUACGUGCCAGCAGCCGCGGUAAUACGUAGGGUGCAAGCGUUAAUCGGAAUUACUGGGCGUAAAGCGUGCGCAGGCGGUUUUGUAAGUCUGAUGUGAAAUCCCCGGGCUCAACCUGGGAAUUGCAUUGGGGACUGCAAGGCUAGAAUCUGGCAGAGGGGGGUAGAAUUCCACGUGUAGCAGUGAAAUGCGUAGAUAUGUGGAGGAACACCGAUGGCGAAGGCAGCCCCCUGGGUCAAGAUUGACGCUCAUGCACGAAAGCGUGGGGAGCAAACAGGAUUAGAUACCCGUGUAGUCCCA